GAUUAUCCCUAAAUUUUUUGUGCACUUGAGUGUAGAAUAUUUGAAGAUUUGAUGCAAUUUUAGUAGUUUUCAUUUUGCUUGUACUAGUUUCCUUUCUUUUUGAUUUUUUGCCCCUUUCUACUGUUCUCGUUAGUAGAAUUUAUGUCUUUGGUUUUAUCCUUGCAAUUGCUUGCCUACUCGUGUGCAGUUGCUUAUCUUUCCUGCAAGCAUAGUAUUAUUAUGAACUCAAUAGUUGUAAAAUAUCUGAUUGAUAUGUAUUAUUAGGUUAAUU
rnacentral:lncRNA from 1 species